GCCAUUCUUUUUAUUAUAACUUUUACAACAGGACAAACUAUAUACUUCUACUCCAGCACUGAAAUUGAGCAAUGAGGUUCGUUCUGUGUGAUAAAAGUACUCCUUGCAUAAGCCACUAUUUGCUGGUAUUGCACUUCCGUUGUCUUUGUAGAUUAAAAUGUUGAAUGGAGUGUUGCUUUUGUGGGAUAUUGAAGUUUGGCAUUCAUAGCAGGCCACUAACUUUGUCAGAGUAAAUAUACACAGAUUUAGCUGGCCAGAUAUACUCAAUUUGUAAGAGCUAUGUAUGUACACAGACUGACUGAACACGGAAUUUAAGCUUCGAAAAAUACACAAACCUUGUGCAAAAUUGAACCAUAUGUGGAAGACCAAAGUGACUUUGCAGCAACAUAGGUGUCCCCAGCAUCUGAUCCUAGUUCAAUCCCAGUUUAGAAGAAUAAAUGUUAUAGAUUUUAGGGCAAAUGAUAGAAAUUGGGUUUUUUUGUUCUCACAUUUUAGUGUUAAUGCUUCACAAAUGUAAAAUACAGGUAGAUCUCAUUUAGCAACUACCUCAAGAUUAUGAAGAUGAUGACAAAGUAAUUGUCAGACACAUUUGCCAUUAUAGUCAGUACAUGCCCUGUGCUUGAGUUUCUCAUCACCACUAACCCCACUUAAAACAAGUGAUCUUUUCUUGAACUUUCUAUCACAGUGUUUUCUUCUCAAAAAUGCUACCAGCAAGUUCAGAUGCCAAGAUCUGUGAUUUUAAUUAGCCAGUUUUCAGCUGCUACCUGCAACUGAUAAGUAUUUAGUUACUUUCACACAUUUGGCUUUUGUUGUCUCCUAUGCUGCUGGGGGCUCAAAGCCACAAGUAAGCUAGGCAAAUAGCUGGUGCUGGUGUACUUCUUUCCAUGUGUAUUUUUCAUUGUGUACCUGCUUACUCUCUUGUAAUCCCUUCCUCUCCAAUAAAUGUAAAUACAAACAUUAAUUCCCUUCUUGCUAAUUAUCCCAGCCUCACACCUUUGGGCGAGUAUUCCAAAAGAGAAAAGGGAAACUGAACAACAAUCACGGGCACAGUCACAAUCAUGUAGUGCUGAGACGACAAUCCCAAUUAUGAUGUCUUUUAAACAAGGACUACCUAUAGUCCAAGAUAGGGAAUAAUUUAAGAUCUGCAGAUAGGCAAGCAGUUGUGUAUUAUGUGUGCCAGACAGUCAUGCCCCAUUUCUUCUCCUAUACAUCCUGUGAAUGCAAGCACAUAGACCUAAACCUUCCAUUUAAUUUUCAGAGUGGCUUGUUACAAAAGCUGAGCAGAACAUCGUGCCUAACCGAAAAGGUAUUACACAAAUUGUUGACAUUUCAUUUGCUAGCCAAAUGACGGCAAGAUUGUAUUUACUGUCUAGGUUAGCUUGCUAAAUGAUGUAACAUUUGUAACCUGUGACUGGGGUGAAGAAGCAGAAGGUAUACAGUGCAGAACAAAAUGUGCUUUGAAAUAUGAAUCUGUCUUGUGUUAGCAGCUUCACCAGAACCAUUCCCAUUUGUGUACAAUAUUUCAGCAUCUGAAUGUGUGCUGCUAAACUGUGGAUGAUUUCCACAGAAAACUACUGUGAGUUCCUUGAAUUCUGACCGAUAAUAAAUCAUUUGUGACAGCUUUCAGAUGUUCAAGUCAUCAUACAUGUAAGUGUGAAAUGCCAAACCAGUUCCUUUUUUAACCUUUUAGGUAUAUAACUGCAUGUUUUUCUUUUAAUUUCAUUAUUCACUCGGUCACUUUGCCCUAAAAGAAAGUAACAUAUCCUGAAAUUUAAUUGCCAAUAAAAUAUUGCAAUUUUUAUUUAAAACAAAAUGCAAAUUGGCAAAAAUCUCUGGAACAGGCAGAGGCAAUGCCUCCAAGGGCCUUACUUACAUCAAGUUAACACUGUUUGCAGUUCACAGUCAGGAAAUAGUGAAAAUUUAAAUUAGAAAAAAACCAAAUAUAUUACAAACAACAACAAAAAACAAAGUAACAUUUGACAACACUAGUAGUGUGGGUUUUUCUGUGUCAGUCGCACAUUUCAGUUUCACCCAUUUUAAUCCUCAGUGAAUUCAACUAACAGAGUGCUGGGUUGAUUAAAAUCCUUAGCCAUCCCCCCCCCUCCCCCGCCCUCCGGAAAGCUACCUCUUACACAUCAUACAACGUUGGCCAUUUUUGCCGUAGGCAACUUCAGAGAAAUUACACAUUCCUAAUAUGCCACUUUUCUGGAUUAGAGGAAAAGGCCACAUUUUCACAUCAAGAGUUGUACUUGGACCAACUGUGCACAGGCAACUCUUAAUACAGUACUGUGAAUGGAAAAUAGAAAGUGGUGUCUGAUCAUGGUCAUUGCUUUAGUCAUUUCAGCAUUUCCUAAGUCUGUAUUUUAAAACAAGCACGCCAUCCAUUAAGAAGCAGAAAAGGGGGCUAGCCAAUAGUCUAUUUGCUUGAAAGAAAGACUAGAUGUUUCCAAGUUAAUUUUUAAGAUAGGGGCUCAUCAUAUAUCAAUAGGAGACUGAGCAAUGAGUAAUUGAGAAGGACUACUUCUCUUUAAUCUUUUGUGGAGAGGGGUCAUCUUAAAUGAAGGCUCAUUUCCUUUCAGUUAAAUAUAGUUCCAAGAUCCAUGCAGUCUAAAAUUGGGAUGUCCAGUAGCUGCUUGGGAAAACUUCUAGCGAAUGAGCAAAAUCAGUCAAUAAAAACCUUUCCUAGAUUGCACUGAGAUGAGGGAAAAGGGGUUGCGCUUCCAUUCAGGUCAAAAAUAAGAGGGAAAGAAAUGAAGCAUGUGACAAAGUUUUGUAAAUUGAUGGCAAUUUUUAAGCAAUACUUAAAUUCUGAAAUAAUACAAAGAUUGGACAAGCUUUAAUAUGUAAAACAUGUAUGAAAUGUAUCUUCAUAAUUUAGCAAUAAUUUUUUUUCACAAGGUGGAAAGCAAAAACUUUUCCCUCUUGUUUUUGGCAAAAAAAAAAAAAAAAGGGACUUUGAACAAGAAGGAUUUGAGAGCAUUAUUUAGCCAGCUUUGAAGACAAUGACCAAACAAUAAUCUGUUUUUAAUCUGUGUUUUCCAUGUUUAGAGUUCUGAUGCUAUAUACUUCUAAAAUAGAAAUUUUAGACUUCGCAUCUCUACUCAUAUAGCGUCAUAAUAUGCUAUUCAGCAGAACAACUUCCUUAGAGAAUGAAUGUUUUAUCUUCAAUUCUGCUUUAAGACCAGAGAAUCAACAAAAAUGUUGUUGAAAGUGUUAAUUUUCAAUGCAGAGCUUCAGGUAAGCCUACAAUUCUUUUGGUUAUUGACUCCCUAAAAACUGUCCUGUGAAAUUUCAGCAGCAAACCACUAAAAAAACAGAGGAGCAAUGAGAAAAUCAAACAAUAAAAAUCUGUAGGUUUAUAUUUUUUAAAAAAAACCUGCAUGACACAACUACCUUAGAAAUCCUACCUCUAACAGCUUGCAAAUUGUUCCUGCAACAUUAUUCCAUUCACAGGAGCCCUUAGUUCCCCAAAAUUAGAACCAUUUUUUGAGCAUCUAAUAUUCCUUACUCAGGGGAAAAAUAAUUUUUCACUAUUUUGCAAAUCCAUGUGCUCAGGAAAUUCCUGUUUGUUCAAGACCGCUCAUGGAUUUUAGUUUGAGAUGAAUUUGCUGGAGAAGCCUGAUAUUUUGUACUAUAUUUUGAAUUAACUGGAGUUUGCCAAUCAAUCUACAGUACUACAAUUAUUAUUUUAAAAAAAAACAUGAUAGUACAAGCACACUGCUCUAGAAUUUCUGCUAUUAGGAGCACAGUAAUGUUAUUUUUGAAUGAAUUGUAUAUAAUACCAAAACGCUAUUUCACAUUAUGGGACUGAUUCGGUUCUUACAGUUUCAAGGCAACCUGGGAACAUUUUGAAUUGAGCAAGGAACCAAUAGAACACAAACUAUUCCAUCAACUAAAACCAGAGUUCUCUCAUAAGAUUCCAUUAACUAUUAACAUCACCCCUUUGCCCCAAAUAGGCUGUAGAAACUUCUAUCAAAGGUGCAAAUUAACAGAUAAUGCAUUCCUGCCAUGUUUAGAACUACAGUUUAGACUUACUCAGCUUCAAGAACAGCAUAUACAAUAUACCGUUCUGCCCCUCAUAUCUUCACUGUAGCAAGGUAACCAAUGAAAGAAGACACGAAGCAGAGAUUUAUAACAACAAAAGUAAUAAAGGCAAAGUUUAUGCAUUAUUGUCUGAAAAGAAAUUAUGGCAUUCUUGAGCAAAAGAGAACAUCUUCCUAUCAUUAUCAAGAAAGAUCAAAAUGGUAAUCUGAAACUCAUGCAAAAACCAGAAAAAAUUCUCUGCAUAUCCAAGGUACAGUACAAUCUCAAACAGCCUUCAUUCAAAUCUUAGGUUGGAUUAUACUAAGAUGUAUGACAGCUGAAAUUCAACUAUUGAUUCUGGAAGGUACCAGUUUGGGGCAAUGGCUUUAAAGCUUUCAGUGCCUAGCAGAUAUUAUUCAGAGUCCCCUAAUGAUCCCUUGAUUAGUUUCCAUCCCAUACCCACACACAUUACACUUAUCUCUUUUUAAGGGGUGAUUUCUUCUAUUCACUCUCCCAAAUUUUGGAUAUGUUCAUCAUUAUACCGAAAAUUCAACAAAGAAGCAUGGGCCAAGAACUGUAAGUUUUGAUGAAUUGCAUUGUUUUCACUUGAUGAACUUAAUGCGUAGCCUAGUACAGUCUGGCCUAUGAAGCAAAAGUGAUUCUUUUCAUUUUUUUCACUAGCAUAUAUUGUGUACAGAUUCAGUGAUAAUUUCGUAUUUACACAAUCACUAAAAGGUUCACCAUAAAAAUCAAUAAACAUGCAAUGUUUUAAACUUUCAAUACUUAAACAUGACCAAUUAAAAAAUUAAAAGGUACAUGAAAUUUGGCCCUAAAUGAAUUUAGAUUAAUGCUUCUAAUUGAUGAAAAUAAGAUACUAACAAUGGUGCAGUGGCAGGUAGAACUGCUGGAAAAGCUAAUGAGAAAAUGUGCCCAAGGAAACCCUAACAGAACAGUAAACAAAGGAGAAAAAAUUUAGCAGAAACCAAUGUGUCUGCAAAAAUAACUUAAGAAAGAUCCAAUGAUAAAAAGGGCACAUAUAUAGGAGUUUUGAAAGGGGGAAGAUCACCAAGAUUUGCAGAUUACCUGGAUUUGUAGAGAUGGCAUAAUGAAAACUAAAACUCAGAAUGAGCCAAAGUUAAACAAACAAUCCUAAGAAUCUACCAAAAGGAGGUUCAACAUAUGCGUACAGCUACAAUGUGUCAGCUGGUCAAUGAAAACAGUGAAGGCUGCUUGAUUCUUAUUCAGUCUUGUCCAAAGAGGGCAUACAUCCUACUGAGCAAUUAUGAAGAACAGAUUGUUUAUAUUUCACCUAGCUAAGGAACAGUUGUUAAAGGAGUUCACACUCUUAGUUGACAGGUGAGACAGGGCAAGAAAAACCUAGAGUCAAGUCCAACUUUGGCCUCAUUGGUGGCUUUGGACCAGUCUUUUAUUAGCCCCCCUUUUUCUCACAGAGCUGUUAUGAAGAAAAGCAAAGUAGGGUGUUCUAUAUAUUCCUUCUUGAGCUCUUGU